CCUACGGGUGGCAGCAGUCGAGAAUCAUUCACAAUGGGGGAAACCCUGAUGGUGCGACGCCGCGUGGGGGAAUGAAGGUCUUCGGAUUGUAAACCCCUGUCAUGUGGGAGCAAAUUAAAAAGAUAGUACCACAAGAGGAAGAGACGGCUAACGCUGUGCCAGCAGCCGCGGUAAUACAGAGGUCUCAAGCGUUGUCCGGAAUCACUGGGCGUAAAGCGUGCGUAGGCUGUUUCGUAAGUCGUGUGUGAAAGGCGCGGGCUCAACCCGCGGACGGCACAUGAUACUGCGAGACUAGAGUAAGGGAGGGGGAACCGGAAUUCUCGGUGUAGCAGUGAAAUGCGUAGAUAUCGAGAGGAACACUCGUGGCGAAGGCGGGUUCCUGGACAGUAACUGACGCUGAGGCACGAAGGCCAGGGGAGCGAAAGGGAUUAGAUACCCCAGUAGUC
rnacentral:rRNA from 1 species